UUCAUUGCAGUGAACCUCUUCAUCUUAUAAAUGAAUUCUAUGGAGAUACAUUUUUAUUGGUUUUACAUUUGAUUUUGAUGUACUUAGUUAAAGAACGUUAUUGAGCAGAUAUUAGAUGUCGAGUCGAGACACUUACCAAAUGUAGUGGUAGCAAAUGAAGUUCAUUUUCUCCUCGCAGUCUCUGUUCUCCCAGACACCAUCUCUAAUGUUUCUCGCUCCACACCGGUAAGGCCAGGCGGGGCAUGAAGGCAUUGAAAUCGGGCUCAGCAUAUCAUCCUCUUCACCCAGACCAUGAGCCAUCCAUGAAGCGUAGACCGGUCCAGAAAGUGGGAGUAAGAAUUUCCUCACUCCUGUUCUUGGCCAGAAAGUGAUCAAUCUCCGUGGUGAGACUUACCAGUGUGUCUGAGCAUCAGUCCAGGACAAAGGUGUAUUGAAGUGAACGAAUUUUCUCCAGGACAGACCUGUGGCUGCAUCUGUUAGAGCCAGCAGCAGGAGGAAGGAGAGAACAGCCAUCUUCCCUCACCGUGGUGUGUUUGAGCUCAGCUCUGUUGUUUCUACAGGAAUUGAAUUACCGGUGACAGCAGCACACAAAUGAAAACACAAAACCAAAUUCCCAAACUGAGGGAGAGGACAAUGCAAAUUUUAUUGGUCCUGAAACCCGGGAAAGAGGAAGGACGCGCUGUCGCAGAGCCCUCGCCGCUGUGGGAAGAUCGUGGCACCAAGGAGGCGGUGCUGCUGGAGCGGUUGCUGGAGAGGAUGGAGGAGUCGCUGCUUUCUGCUGUGAGGUGGAGGAACCACUGCCGUCCACCUGGAAGGGGAGGAGUGGUUGCAGUCCACCAGAGGACGGAGGACCCACUGUUGCCGGGGUGUGGCUGCCGUCAACCUGAAAAGGGGAGGAGCCUCAGCCAUCCUCCUGGAAGUCCAGUGCCAUCAGUCAGCAUCAUGGGGGAUCAGCUGACAGCAUGUCUGGGAACCAGAGAACCAUCUUUUUCUCUCUCUCCUCUCUUUCUCUCUGGCUCUCUCUCUCUAGCUUGCUCUUUCUCGCUCCCCUAUUCCUCCCUUUCUCUCCUCUAGCUUGCAGGCAAAGGGGCCAGCCAGGUGAAGGAUGUAUAGCCAGAAGGGCAGCACUUCUCCUCCUGAAAGGGGAUGGGGGGUAUAUGUGACAAGGAGGAAGGAGAAGCCAGGCUGUGAGGAUGCACACCUGGCACUGAUUUGAAUAUUCAGUGGGAGAGAAGGAUAAAGGAGUGGCUGGAAGUGCCAGAUAGAGGGAGACAUAUACGCGCUUUAUGUUUCUGUAAUAUCUGUGUUGUGCUUAAGUUAUAUUUAUUAUUAAACAUUAUGUUUAUGUCCAGCUGGUUCCCAUUUCCUCCUUGCACGUCUGUGAAGUUUGUUACAGUUAAUUAUUCCACAGUUUUGGGGCUGUAACUGAAAAUGCACACUCACUCUCUGACUUUAACUGGGACUGUGGGACAUUCAGAAGAGCUUCACUAACUCCUCUACGAAACCUUGACGAAGUAGCAGGCAGAUUAAUUCUGCGAUGUAAAGCGGUUAUAAUCUAUGCAAUGCCUUAAAAGCAAAGAGUUAAACCAUGAAAUCAAAACAGGAGUUAUACUGUCUCUCUUUCUGGUACCAGUCAAGGGGCAAGCAGCAGAGUUUUGACCCAGUUGGAGGCGUAAGAGAAAAGACUGACUAACCCCGCGGUAAAGACAAUUACAGUAGUCAAGACAAAAUGAAAUGAAGGUAUGGUAGACAAUCUCCAACUUGUGAUUGGUUCUAAGUCAGAAAAAGCUUGAAUGGACAACAGACUUAAUUUGCAUGUAGAAUUUUAAGUAUCAUAAGAUGUUGUCAGAGUCACCAGGUGUAGGGCUUGGCUGUUUUGGAUGUGGGGUUUUUGUUUGUGUUUGGUUAAUCACUGAGUAAGGGAAGCGCCUGUCUUUACUUUGUCUUUAUGUUAAUUGGUAGGUAAGGCAUGCUGUCUAUACAGGUAAUGUCAGGUUUUUGUUUGUUGUUUUGGCGUUGGCUGACCUGAUGUUUUCUA